rnacentral:rRNA from 1 species
GAUCCUGGCUCAGGACGAACGCUGGCGGCGUGCCUAACACAUGCAAGUCGAACGGAGUUGAAAGAGCUUGCUUUUUCAACUGAGUGGCGGACGGGUGAGUAACGCGUGAGUAACCUGCCUUUCAGAGGGGGAUAACGUUUGGAAACGAACGCUAAUACCGCAUAAGCUGGUAGGGCCGCAUGGUCCAGCCAGAAAAGGAGCAAUCCGCUGAAAGAUGGACUCGCGUCCGAUUAGCUAGUUGGUGGGGUAAAGG